GCACCACAAGAGGUGGGACCUGCGGUUCAAUUGGAUUCAACGCCGGAAAACUCACCAGGGGCGACAGCUGGUUGACGGCCAGAUUGACGAUCUUGCCCGACUAGCUGAGAGGUGGUGCAUGGCCAUCGUCAGCUCGUACCGUCAGGCGUCCUGUUAAGUCAGGCAACGAGCGAGAUCCUCGCCCUUAGUUGCCAUCGGUGGAAAGCCGGGCACUCUAGGGGGACCGCUGGCGCUAAGUCAGAGGAAGGAGAGGGCGACGGUAGGUCAGUAUGCCCCGAAUCCCCUGGGCUACACGCGGGUCACAAUGCGCAGGACGAUGAGAUGCAACCCCGUAAGGGGAAGCCAAACCCAUAAACCUGCGCUCGGUUCGGAUCGAGGGCUGUAACUCGCCCUCGUGAAGCUGGAAUCUCUAGUAAUCGCGUGCCAACACCGCGCGGUGAAUGCGUCCCUGCUCCUUGCACACACCGCCCGUCAAGCCACUCGAGUGGGGUUUGGAUGAGGUCAGUUCAAGUUGUGCUGCUCGAAUCCGAGUUCUGCAAGAGGGGCU
rnacentral:rRNA from 1 species